rnacentral:rRNA from 1 species
GAUGAACGCUAGCGGCAGGCUUAACACAUGCAAGUCGAGGGGUAUAGUUCUUCGGAACUAGAGACCGGCGCACGGGUGCGUAACGCGUAUGCAAUCUGCUUUUUGCAGAGGGAUAGCCCAGAGAAAUUUGGAUUAAUACCUCAUAGUAUGUGGUAAUGGCAUCAUUUUCACAUUAAAGUCACAACGGCAAAAGAUGAGUAUGAGUCCCAUUAGCUAGUUGGUAAGGUAACGGCUUACCAAGGCAACGAUGGGUAGGGGUCGUGAGAGGGAGAUCCCCCACACUGGUACUGAGACACGGACCAGACUCCUACGGGAGGCAGCAGUGAGGAAUAUUGGACAAUGGGCGCAAGCCUGAUCCUGCCAUGCCGCGUGCAGGAUGACGGUCCUAUGGAUUGUAAACUGCUUUUGUACAGGAAGAAACACUGGUUCGUGAACCAGCUUGACGGUACUGUAAGAAUAAGGAUCGGCUAACUCCGUGCCAGCCGCCGCCGUAAUAC